rnacentral:rRNA from 1 species
GACGAACGCUGGCGGCGUGCUUAACACAUGCAAGUCGAACGGAAAGGCCCUGCUUGCAGGGUACUCGAGUGGCGAACGGGUGAGUAACACGUGGGUGAUCUGCCCUGCACUUCGGGAUAAGCUUGGGAAACUGGGUCUAAUACCGGAUAGGAACCAUCUUUAGUGUGGUGGUUGGAAAGUUUUUUCGGUGUAGGAUGAGCUCGCGGCCUAUCAGCUUGUUGGUGGGGUAAUGGCCUACCAAGGCGGCGACGGGUAGCCGGCCUGAGAGGGUGUACGGCCACAAUGGGAAUGGGAUACGGCCCAGAACCCUACGGGGAGCAGCAGUGGGGAAUAUUGCACAAUGGGGGGAAGCCUGAUGCAGCGAAGCCGCGUGGGGGAUGAAGGCCCUCGGGUUGGAAAAUCCUUUCGCUAGGGACGAAGCUUUUUGUGACGGUAACUAGAUAAGAAGCACCGGCUAACUACGUG